UAUUACACUACACCCUAUCACCUUACCCUAAUCUCCUAAACCCACAACAACCGCCAUUAAAAAAAUUCUCAUCGGUCUCCACUAAAGAUGCAAUUGACGCCUGGAAGUCCAUCUUUUCCGUCACACACAAGUAACCCUAACCCUAUCCUGCCGCCAUGAUCAACCACGAUCAACGAUUUGGGGGAACAACAAGCAAAUUUGAUCCGGGAAUUCAGAGCUUUUAGUUCUUAUUCUCGAAGAUCUCUCCGGACGGCCGUUAGUUCAUCAUCUGCCACGAUGGGCCCAUCUGAAGCUUCGGUGGCAAGAUCGAAUUUUUCAUGCGCGUCACCACCAAAGUUUGAUACCGAUUUCAAGGAUGUAGCUGUUGCUGGUAGACAUACAUGUAUAUGCAACAUGUGGUCUGUACAUCUACCAAUGAUUUGCAGGAGGGAACUUAUAAACAAGACCACAAAUCUUCAUCUAUGUUUUCAUAUCAUUUCUGCCAAUCUAUUAACAUGCAAUCUCUGUUUUCCUUUCUAGCUCUUCACUCAAUAAUAAUUUCUACCAAUAAUAAUAUGUUUUCAUCUCAUUUCGUUUCUACCAAUCUAUUAACAACUGUUCCCUGAUCAGAAAAAGCAUAGUAGCUGUUCUUGUUUUUCCAUCACCAGUUCCCAUCUUUUAUUACUACCAAAAAAUUGUAUAACUCUUCUUUAUAAUUCUUAUGUUUUUUGACUUGUUGACUAUGCAUACCAAAAGAAAUCACACUUUGCUUUCGGGAUCCAUGAGCCAUAUUUCACCAACUUAUGCUAAUAUUUUAAGUUAUUUUUACAAAAGAAAAAAAAUCUACCUGUAUUCAACAUCAUAACAUGCUCUUGGUGUUUUGCUUUAUAUUUUUCAUACUUUGAUAUUCUUUGAUUCUCUUGAUUCAACACAAAAAGAAUAAUUGGGUUUGUUCACUAAUUUUUCCAUAUCUUAUAUUUCCUCAAGUUUUAUUUUUCAAAUUUUUAUUUUCAAUGUUUUCUUGUGUGUUAAAGGACCUGGUGGUAGUGCCGCUUGCACCCUUCGACGAUCCACUGCCAUAGGUGUCAUCAUCGGAGCCAUACGGUGUUGCCUUCAAACACUUUCUAGGUAUUGUUCCUCUCUAUUGGAUUUUAUAUUUUUAUCUCUUUUCCUUUCCUUGUUGUUUCCGCUGUAAUCAAUAUGUUCCCUUCAAUAUAGUUGAGAAGUUUCGUUUUUGAUACAAUAUUCCAAUUUAGAUUCACGAUUUUAGCCAGAAAUUUGUCAAUUAACCACUCAUAGAUAAUUCAUUUUUUCUAUGAUGUGGUGUCUCUGAUUAUGUAUAAUAUAUAUAAAGGAGGUGAAGGAUGGAGGAAUGAGAAUUCGGAAGGAUUAGAGGAGUUAUCUGUUAAAAAGGGGAAUAACACGAACAGUUGAAACACAACAAUUAACGGUUCAAAUUUUAUUCAUCAUCUAUUAUAAUUGAUUAUUUAUAGAGUCAAUCGACAUAAUGCUCAUAUAAUGAAAUUAUAGUUGAUUUUAAGACAGCUGGACACAAUUUGAAAACUCAUACGCCCCCAUACUUAAAGGUCAAAUGGUUGGUGCAUUUAUACAAGUUUAUAUUUCCUUCUACAUUUAAAAAUGUUUCAAAUUUUUUUUAGUAAUUUUAAAAUUUUAUUUUCUUUGUAGAUGCCUGAAUUUUAGGUCAUAAAACAAACCUAGCACAAAAUAACAAAGUUACAUAUUUGAUAUUCUGAAACAGAAUAAGAAACUACUCUCAAGUUUCAAAUGUCAAAUGAAAAGGUAACAUCCAGAUUUUAGCCUAUGUCCUUACUCAUGUUGAUUUUUGUUCUUCUAUUGUACUUUCCUUUUUGUUUUCCUUUCGUAUCUGGUGGUUCUUGAGUGAUUAAUAUCUUUACAACCCUCCCCCAAGGUUUCAAGUUCUCAAUAUGGCUGUAAGAGGAACAAUUUCAAAUAGGUGGGUGGUAUUAUGACCAGUUAGUGUUUUCUUAAUGCAAGGUGAACAAGGCAUUUGAAUGUGGUGGAGUUAUGGUUACAUGUAUGUGGAAUUAUGGUCAUAGGGUGAAUGUAGAUUUGAUUUCGGUGUACUCAAUAUCAUAUCUAAGUUGUUUUAUAAAUUCAACCUCUUAUUCUUUU